ACAGAAUGGAUGCAUCCCAGAUUUUCUAUUUUUUCCAAGCAUAACUCCGUCAGAGAUGUCUUAAUGGAGGAGCGUGGGGCAAUUUCAACACACUGUGAUGUUGAUGCAUAUCAUGCAUUUGCACCAUCACCUCAGGGAAGAAAUAACACACAGGGAUUGCAACUACGCGUUGACGUCGCCUCCCCCCAAAAUGAGGUUGAUGAAUGAUGUGUAACUGUACAUUUUGAACGAGACAUUAAGUGGUUAUCCCAACUUGAGAAUGCUGCAUAUGUACGUUACAAGCAGUUAGUAAGCUGUUACAACUUAUUGACGAGGUUAUACAGGCACCAUUGAUGUUUCACUCUUUUCAAAUUUAGACAAGUGGAUUACAAUGCAACAAAAAGGAAGAACGAACAGUACACAAUGGGUUACAACCAGUUAGGGAUCUGUUACUGUUACGUUACAACUAAUUACGACUGUUUAACAAUCAUGAUUAAUAUCCAAAUAUGGUAAGCAAUUUGUUUGAG